rnacentral:rRNA from 1 species
UACAGAGGUCCCAAGCGUUGUUCGGAUUUACUGGGCGUAAAGGGUGCGUAGGCGGCAAAAAAAGUCUGAUGUGAAAUCUCGGAGCCUAACUCCGAAACUGCAUUGGAAACUUUUAUGCUCGAGGGAUGGAGGGGAGACUGGAAUUCUCGGUGUAGCAGUGAAAUGCGUAGAUAUCGAGAGGAACACCAGUGGCGAAGGCGAGUCUCUGGACAUUUCCUGACGCUGAGGCACGAAAGCCAAGGGAGCAAACGGG